rnacentral:misc_RNA from 1 species
UGCAAGAAUUGGCUGGGGCCAAAAGUGAACAUAACAAGGACACCACAGUCAGAGCAUGAUGGUUCAGAUGUACAAGUGCAUCUAAAUAUAGAGCAUCAACAUGGUGAAGAUAUCAUUCCCAAUAUGACAAAGUUACCUACAAUGAAGUACAUAACCUAUUAUGAGGAUUCUGAAAGUUUUCCAGGGACAAGAACAGCAGUUUGGGAGCUUGA